rnacentral:rRNA from 1 species
AGCAGCCGCGGUAAUUCCAGCUCCAAUAGCGUAUAUUAAAGUUGUUGCAGUUAAAAAGCUCGUAGUUGAAUUUCGGGGUUAGUAGGUUGGUCAUGCCUCUGGUAUGUACUGGUCUCACUGAUUCCUCCUUCCUGAUGAACCUUAAUGCCAUUUAUUUGGUGUUUUGGGGAAUUUGGACUGUUACUUUGAAAAAAUUAGAGUGUUUAAAGCAAGCUAACGCUUGAAUACAUUAGCAUGGAAUAAUGAAAUAGGACGUUCGAUCCUAUUUUGUUGGUUUCUAGGAUUGACGUAAUGAUUAAUAGGGAUAGUUGGGGGCAUUAGUAUUCAAUUGUCAGAGGUGAAAUUCUUGGAUUUAUUGAAGACUAACUACUGCGGAAGCAUUUGCCAAGGAUGUUUUCAUUAAUCAAGAACGAAAGUUAGGGAUCGAAGACGAUCAGAUACCGCCGUAGU